GUACUGCUGAAGAGUCACAGACUAGGAUGAAACAGCUGUCCAGUAC
rfam:Trichobilharzia regenti genome assembly, scaffold: TRE_scaffold0018575